rnacentral:rRNA from 1 species
GACGAACGCUGGCGGCGUGCUUAACACAUGCAAGUCGAGCGGUAAGGCCCUUUCGGGGGUACACGAGCGGCGAACGGGUGAGUAACACGUGGGUGACCUGCCCUCAGCUCUGGGAUAAGCCUGGGAAACCGGGUCUAAUACCGGAUAUGACUCCAUGACGCAUGUUGUGGGGUGGAAAGCCUUGUGCGGCUGAGGAUGGGCCCGCGGCCUAUCAGCUUGUUGGUGGGGUGAUGGCCUACCAAGGCGACGACGGGUAGCCGGCCUGAGAGGGCGACCGGCCGACACUGGGACUGAGACACGGCCC